CAGUGCUGCGACCUUCGCGCCCGGAGGAUUCAAACAUGCGCAAUCGGGUUUGUGUUCGGGAACAUGUGGCGAUAGUAAGCAUGGGGUAAUACCAUGUGCUCCAACAAGCGCGCAAGCCCUUCGCGCCGACGAUGCUCACAUACACAGCAGCGCGCGCCACAUCGCGUGCCCCCUCCGCCGCACCAACCCCCUCGCUUGCCUCAGCCUCCACAUUCUCACGAGUCACCAUACUUAAGGCAAGAAGCCCAAAUCACCUACCACCUCUGAAAGUAGGCGUGGAAGUGCAGCUGCGGCGCGUUGUGGCCACACACAGGACGCCGCUUGGCGCAGUCAAAGCAGUUGGCUGCCGCCGCCUCCAGCCAGCGCGGCAGCGCGCUUGUGUCGCAAAUAUGGUACGGGCCCCAGCGCCUGCGGGCGAUGUGAUACAUGCACACGCCUGUGUGAUGCUGCGGCGAGGAUUGUCCCGACACCAUUAGGACUGAGACGAAGUCUCCUUAGCGCGGGGGUGGCGCAGCAGCUGGUGGCAGGUGCACCGCCGCUGUGUCGUGCUGGGUAUUUGUCUUUGCCGACACCUCCGGCCACAGUCCCGACGUGUUCCAGCAGAGUCUAUAGACUACAGCUUUGCCCAUCGGCUGUCGUAGCUGC
rnacentral:lncRNA from 1 species